UGCGCGCUUUUUUUGUUUUUCUCUCGAGAUUCUAUUCGCUAGUGUUUUCUCUGCAUCUUCGAGAUCACUCAGUGUCGAGUACCUCACGUUACUGUCAUUGACAGUCAAACCACAAGAAAGUUAACACUACUCCGUCAUUUUGCACUAACCGCGUUAGCAGAACACAAACAUUUCUGUAAGUGAGAAUGUCGACGAAAAGAACGUGUGACGUUUAGCGUGAAUAGCACAUUCAGUUUUCAUUUGUGCGAUUUUAUCAGUGAGUAGCUAGUGCGUGAUAGUGUUAUCUGUUGUGUGUUCAGUGUUAGCGGGUUGCAAUGCGAUGCUGACCGCAGGAUCUGCAACGUAAAAUUGUUUUUGAUCUGUCAUAGUUGGCUGCGCGUAUCGCGUUCGCUGCGACAGUCUUUUGUCGACUCAGUCAGCGUGUGUGUGCGUGUGACGCAGGAUGUUAUUCCCGUGUUGUGCUUGACAGAUACGAUAAAACUGCGUUCAUCGGAUCGCAGCUGAACUUCGACUGGAAAAAGAAGGAUACUGGAACUCAGCCUCGAGGAGGCAAGGACGCCGUGACUUGGCGUGUAUGGAAUGGUACCGGCCAGCACAACGUCUCGAUAGGCCAGCAACGUCGGG